rnacentral:rRNA from 1 species
GACGGAGGAUGCAAGCGUUAUCCGGAAUUAUUGGGCGUAAAGCGUCCGUAGGCGGUUUCAAAAGUCUGUUGUUAAAGCCCACAGCUCAACUGUGGAUCGGCAAUGGAAACUGUGAGACUAGAGAGUGGUAGGGGUAGAGGGAAUUCCUGGUGUAGCGGUGAAAUGCGUAGAUAUCAAGAGGAACACCUGAGGUGAAGACGGGUUGCUGGGCUGACACUGACGCUGAGGCGCGAAAGCCAGGGGAGCAAACGGG